CAAGUGAAUUUUGUAUAUAAAUAUGCAGUGUAAUGAACAUUUUCACUGUUGCCCUACCUGACUACAGCUUUUCCUAGGGACGCCUUUAUCUGGCUUUUAAAAUGAGCAGGAGGAAAUGAAUAGAUUUGAUGGUAAUGAGCUAUAACUGCAAUCUGUGCAAGUCGGUACUCUGAAUUUGAUGUUGGCAGCUUAAGACUUUGUUCAGAAUAAAAUGAUUUCUUUUAACCACUGCUUUCUUCAGUGAGACGUCAGCACUAGCAACAUUAAUUCAUAGAUGAUGUCUCUGACAGCCUUUGACUGUGCCUCAAGUCUCAAACAGAAAUUACAUAAGCAAUACAAUUAUCUGACAAUUCAUUCUGUUGCCCAUUAGCCUAAAUGUAGAGGUACCAGAACUGUUUUCUUUCCAAUUACUAGUGAAUACAGCUAUUGUGCGUGUCCAGAAUAUGAUGAAACCAGCAACAGAGAACUGAAAUUCCACAGACUUCACUCUCUAAAGGCAAAUUUUACCUGUGGCUUUUUAGAUCAUGACAUUUAAGGAGUUGGGUCCAUAAUUGCAACAUGUCUAAUAUGUAACCAUUAAGUCUGUUGCAUAUACAGAAAAAUAGUGUACCUUUGAUGGUGUGUGGCUCCCAUGAAUUUUAACAAGUUCCAUUCCUGAUACAGUCCCUAUUUUGUCACUUUAGAACCCUUGUUCUGAACAAGUAGUUGUAAAAUCAUGUUUAGUUUAAUGUGUAAACUUCAUUUAACAUCUUCACAGUAACUUGAUUUUGUGCUUUUAUGCUUGUUGGUAUGGUCCAUAUGCAUCUGGAGCAGAGGCUUAUUGUUGCAUCAGUAAAAUUCCUUUGACACUUCUGUGAGUGUCACACAUGGUCUGCAAGUGGGCAAGCACCAUCUUACCUUGUUGCAUUGUUUCGGCACAGAAUGCAUGUAAAGCCUCUUGUCGUAGGAAUGUCUGAGCACUCUAACAGUGCAAAAUGCCAAGUCUGCUUCAGCACCUAAAACUUUCCCAAUAUUCAGGGUCCGAGCAGCCCCUCAAAAGCAUUGAUUGUAGUGCUCAAGUUGAGGAGGCUUGGCCUUACAAGUAUCUUGCCAUAUCGUUCCUUCCUUCCACCCCCGGCUGCAGCAGUUUAGGUGAGAGAGUGAUCUUCAGAAGCAGGAAUUGCUGUACUUGUUAUAUAAAAUACAGCAUGUGAAUCCCAACCACCACCACCACCAUGUGCUAAAGAGUCAGAUUGUUUACUGAGUAGAUAAAAACAUGGAUCAAAAAGCAUUGAAAACUAAAAGGCAUGCAUGCUUAUGCAUUCCAUGAGAUUUGGCCCAAAGUGUUAGUAUAAUUAGCAAGCUAUUCUCUCUCUAGAAGUUGUUGAAAGCUCCACAGAGAAUACUGUAGUCACUAUUGCAUAUAUUUUUGCAUGCCUAAAACUGGAGAAAUAAUUACCUAAUAAAAAUAAAUUAAUUGUUGAUGCCGGGAACUUUUACACAUUUAUGCAUUUUUUUUUUUAAGCCUAAGCAAUUCAGUAUUCAUCUGAAACAGUGAUGUGUACAGCUCUUGAUGUGGGAACACUCAGUAAGGUCAAAGUGACUCAGCUAGGUGGGUAAAAUGAGGAGUUGAGUGCCUUUGGACUGCAGCAAUAUCACUAAAGUCGCAUUGCCCCUGAAUGGCAGCAGGGUUUAUGUGCUUGUUGACUUCUGUCUUGGUUGAUUCAUCUUAACUUUUCCAAUGUUCUGUGUUAGACAUAGCUUUAUAGAAUGCAGCUGGCAAACCUGGCUGCCUCUUCAGCUAGCUC